rnacentral:lncRNA from 1 species
CAGCCUGCAGGGGAGGGGAGUGCGUGAUAUCCUUCGACUCGUAAUGGCCGGCCCAUUGCGGAGAACGUGACCUGGAACUGGGCCUCAUGUCGUCUUCUUUCACUUUCUCCCUUUUCCACUAAGAACUGUUUACCUUUUAUUAUGGCCUUGUUUAGUUCACCCCGAAAUUCAAAAAGUUUUCAAGAUUCCCCAUCACAUCGAAUCUUGCGGCGCAUGCAUGAAGCAUUAAAUAUAGACGAAAAUAAAAACUAAUUACACAGUUUGUCUGUAAAUCACGAGACGAAUCUUUUAAUGCUAGUUAGUUCAUGAUUGGAUAAUAUUUGUCAAAUAAAAACGAAAGUGCUAUAGUAGUGAAAUCCAAAAAUUUUUCGGAACUAAACAAGGCUAUAGUUUUAGCAAAGUGGGUUCCCGACUUCACGUAGAAAAAAAAAACUAGUGACGGCCUGUUCACCUUUUCAAGUUUUCACUGGAAUGGAAUCCAAACGUGUCCAGAGGCGCUCAAGCUUUUCACACUCGAUGGAGACUAUUUUCUUUUACCGAGUGAUUUAUCGGAUGUUAACGACGAUUCUACAGCAUUGUAUGGCCAAAGUAAGAAAAACGUUUGGAAGGAAAAACAAUGAGAUAUCGAUGGUUCUUUCUCUAGUAAUACGCAAACGGUCAACUUUUUUCAAAAGGCCAUCGAUAUAGCAUGUUAGGCACAUAUUAAUAGAGAAAAAAAACCAGAAAUAAUAAAAAAAAUAGAAAAAAAACUCAACACCUGCAAAGAUGACAACAAGACCACCACCAAAAUAAACAACACCGACAAACUAGACAAAGACAAUCAAACAUCACCCCAUACGACACACGAAACAAGCAUUGUAACAUAAAAAUGAGGAGGAGGUCUCCACAACAAGAUGCCGCAAACGCCGAUUGAAGAACCAAGGUUUCUAUGAACUCCAACUACUAUAGAGGCAAGGGCCUCACUACAAUGCCUCUAAUGAGGGGGGUGAUGCUAAAAGCAUCACCAUUAUCGACCACAACCCAAGCCUAAGCAGGUCUUUCGUCCGAAAGUCCCCAACACCUUAGACCCAACUCUCGCCAUGCAAUGGAUCCUUGCAGCAGCACUAAAAUGUAGUAAACCACCACAAGUAGGAGAUCAUCGGAGGCACCGAUGAGGUCAUAGGCACACGCCAGCUUGCAAGGGCCGCCUCCAUUCUGGAUGACACCAAACACCACUUGCUCCUGCACCAUGCCAAGGGCAGCGUUGAUGACCAUCACUGUCCAUGAACACGAGGUUUCUAGAGAAAGUAACAAGCGUUCCUGCCCUAACACCCACAAAGAUCUGAUUUCUACUGGUUGACGCUGCGACCGCAAGCCAGCGAGAGAUAUGUGUGGCAUGUCGUAGUCACCCCGAUCAAUACGAACCACAACCAACCAGUAGUCGUUGGCCCAUAGAAGAUCGUUUAACAGGAGAUCCACGACCACUACAAUAAUUCAGGGCUUCUAUGACGAUUAGAUUAUGACGAUAACAACCUGAUUCUUGUCAUUGCUUGCCUACUGUGACAAAGUGACUAUCGUCACAUAAGGUGGGUCACUAAACAACUUCUGUGACCACUAGAGGACUUCGUCAUUGACCGGACGGUGGUUCAAAAAUUGUACCUUAAAUGGAUAACCUAUGGACAUGACAUAAGGCACAUUAGAUGGUAGGGAUAAAAUAUAACCCUAAAUCGUAAGUAACUCUCAACCACGUGGCUUUGAGCCUUUAAGAAUCGUUCGGUAUGGAAUGAACUUAUAAUCUGAUGAUCGAGUCGAUUUCAUUAUUAUAAGUUCAUAACCCUAGCACCCAUUCCCAUUUUGGGCU